rnacentral:rRNA from 1 species
UUUGAAACGUGAGCGCUAGCUUACGUGGAGGCGCUGGUGGGAUACUACCCUAGCUGUGUUGGCUUUCUAACCCGCACCACUUAUCGUGGUGGGAGACAGUGUCAGGCGGGCAGUUUGACUGGGGCGGGCGCCUCCUAAAAGGUAACGGAGGCGCUCAAAGGUUCCCUCAGAAUGGUUGGAAAUCAUUCAUAGAGUGUAAAGGCAUAAGGGAGCUUGACUGCGAGACCUACAA